CGCGUAGGCGGUUUGUUAAGUCAGAUGUGAAAGUCCACGGCUCAACUGUGGAAGUGCAUUUGAAACUGGCAGACUUGAGUACUGGAGGGGGUAGUGGAAUUCCCGGUGUAGAGGUGAAAUUCGUAGAUAUCGGGAGGAAUACCGGUGGCGAAGGCGACUGCCUGGCCAGAUACUGACGCUGAGGUGCGAAAGCGUGGGGAGCAAACA
rnacentral:rRNA from 1 species